rnacentral:rRNA from 1 species
UGGGGAAUUUUCCGCAAUGGGGGCAACCCUGACGGAGCAACGCCGCGUGCGGGAGGAAGGCCUUUGGGUUGUAAACCGCUUUUCUCAGGGAAGAAGCUCUGACGGUACCUGAGGAAUCAGCCUCGGCUAACUCCGUGCCAGCAGCCGCGGUAAUACGGAGGAGGCAAGCGUUAUCCGGAAUCAUUGGGCGUAAAGCGUUCGCAGGCGGCGAUUCAAGUCUGCUGUCAAAGCCCGCAGCUCAACUGCGGACAGGCAGUGGAAACUGAAUGGCUAGGGUGGGGCAGGGGUAGGGGGAAUUCCCGGUGUAGCGGUGAAAUGCGUAGAUAUGGGGAAGAACACCGGUGGCGAAAGGGGCUCUCUGGUCCGGAUCUGACGCUGAGGCGCGAAAGCGUGGGGAGCAAACAGGAUUAGAUACCCCCGUAGUCC